rnacentral:rRNA from 1 species
UACGGAGGGGGCAAGCGUUAUUCGGAAUUACUGGGCGUAAAGCGCGCGCAGGUGGCAUGGCAAGUGGCAGGCGAAAGCCCUCGGCUCAACCGAGGAACUACCUAUCAAACUGCUGUGCUUGAGGCCGGGAGGGGAGAGCGGAAUUCCUGGUGUAGCGGUGAAAUGCGUAGAUACCAGGAGGAACACCGGUGGCGAAGGCGGCUCUCUGGACCGGUUCUGACGCUCAUGCGCGAAAGCGUGGGGAGCAAACAGG